rnacentral:rRNA from 1 species
UACGUAGGGCGCAAGCGUUGUCCGGAAUUAUUGGGCGUAAAGAGCUCGUAGGUGGUUUGUCGCGUUGUUCGUGAAAACUCACAACUCAAUUGUGGGCGUGCGGGCGAUACGGGCAGACUGGAGUACUGCAGGGGAGACUGGAAUUCCUGGUGUAGCGGUGGAAUGCGCAGAUAUCAGGAGGAACACCGGUGGCGAAGGCGGGUCUCUGGGCAGUUCCUGACACUGAGACACGAAGGCCAGGGGAGCAAACGGG